UGUUUGCAGUGUUCAUCUGGAGGAAAAGGAAACACACAGAUGAAUCACUAAAACCACCACCUCGACCAGAAAAAAGAAGAUCACUUUGGGAUAGAUUAUCCAG